rnacentral:rRNA from 1 species
UCGGGAAUUUUGGGCAAUGGGCGAAAGCCUGACCCAGCAACGCCGCGUGAAGGAUGAAGUCUCUCGGGAUGUAAACUUCGUAAGAAUAGGAAGAAUAAAUGACGGUACUAUUUGUAAGGUCCGGCUAACUACGUGCCAGCAGCCGCGGUAAUACGUAGGGACCAAGCGUUGUUCGGAUUUACUGGGCGUAAAGGGCGCGUAGGCGGCGUGGUAAGUCACUUGUGAAAUCUCCGAGCUUAACUCGGAACGGUCAAGUGAUACUGCUGUGCUAGAGUACAGAAGGGGCAAUCGGAAUUCUUGGUGUAGCGGUGAAAUGCGUAGAUAUCAAGAGGAACACCUGAGGUGAAGACGGGUUGCUGGGCUGAUACUGACGCUGAGGCGCGAAAGCUAGGGUAGCAAACGGGAUUAGAUACCCCAGUAGUCCCUGAGCGGGCUGGCAAGGCGCAU